rnacentral:rRNA from 1 species
GACGAACGCUGGCGGCGUGCUUAACACAUGCAAGUCGAACGAUGAAGCCCAGCUUGCUGGGUGGAUUAGUGGCGAACGGGUGAGUAACACGUGAGUAACCUGCCCUUGACUCUGGGAUAAGCGCUGGAAACGGCGUCUAAUACCGGAUACGACCUGCACCGGCAUCGGGUGCGGGUGGAAAGUUUUUCGGUCAAGGAUGGACUCGCGGCCUAUCAGCUAGUUGGGGAGGUAAUGGCUCACCAAGGCGACGACGGGUAGCCGGCCUGAGAGGGUGACCGGCCACACUGGGACUGAGACACGGCCCAGACUCCUACGGGAGGCAGCAGUGGGGAAUAUUGCACAAUGGGCGAAAGCCUGAUGCAGCAACGCCGCGUGGGGGAUGACGGCCUUCGGGUUGUAAACCUCUUUUAGUAGGGAGGAAGGGCUUCGGCUUGACGGUACCUGCAGAAAAAGCACCGGCUAACUACGUGCCAGCCGCCGCGGUAA